GUCUUCGGAUUGUAAAGCACUUUCGACGGGGACGAUGAUGACGGUACCCGUAGAAGAAGCCCCGGCUAACUUCGUGCCAGCAGCCGCGGUAAUACGAAGGGGGCUAGCGUUGCUCGGAAUGACUGGGCGUAAAGGGCGUGUAGGCGGUUUUGACAGUCAGAUGUGAAAUCCCCGGGCUUAACCUGGGAGCUGCAUUUGAGACGUCAAGACUAGAGUGUGAGAGAGGGUUGUGGAAUUCCCAGUGUAGAGGUGAAAUUCGUAGAU
rnacentral:rRNA from 1 species